UUAGGAGUGUCCAAAUAGCAAAAUCAUUGUGCCUAUUAGCGUUAUUUGGGGACAGUUGGGUGGCGGUACGAAUACCACAAGCCAACAACGGCACAAUAGGUAGAAAAAAAGGGAUUUUGCUCGCUUUUCGAGGUGCAACUCCUAAGACACAUCCAACAAUAUAAAGAGACUUCUUCCAGGGCAAAACAUGGGAAGAGAAAGGUAAGACAAUAAAGAAAUUACAAGAAAAAUAAGGAAAAAGUACAAAAGAGGAGAAAGAAAACUAUGGUUCUAGAUUUUCAUAAGAAAAAGGUAGAUUCUUGGUGUAAGAUCCUCAUUUUAUUUAUUUAUUUAUUUAUUUUUAUUAUUCCUUCAAACCUAGAGAUGUACUUCAAAUCUUUCAUGUGCUUUUCUUUCUCCAUGAUGUAUAGUUAAACAAUUAGUUGAAACAAAUAAAUGUAAUAUAGUUUCGG
rnacentral:lncRNA from 1 species